rnacentral:lncRNA from 1 species
GUCUUUUGGAAUUGUCGCACAGGGUUUCAUUGACAGCUUGCUUUGUCUCUACAUGCAGACACAUCGCAAUGGCUUCUUGUGUUCCUCCAAGACAGGUGGCUGAACAAGGAGUAAAACCAAUGUACUCCCAGUCAUAAAUCACACUGCCAUCUUCAGCACGUGAAAAUUCUGGUGUGUAGGGGACAGGAUUGCUGUCACAGGGUGCCUCGUGACAUACUUGUUCUGUGGGGGGCUUCACAUCUUCACACUCCUCCUCAGGCAGAUCCACCUCAGUCUGCGUAAAUGAGAGAAGAAUUCGGCACUUCACAUCCCGCACCUGUAUGCCACUGCCACACGUAGCGCUGCAUGGAGACCACGGCUCAGGAAUAAACGUUGGCUCUUCUGAGACUGCUCUGGUCUCCUCCAUUUCAUGUGCCUGUUUAAACCAUGGGGAUUUUGCUUCCACAGGACUUUUUUCUCUUGGCUUGUAACAUGGUAUUGGCACGAUGCACUCUUCUUUUAUGUGUAGUUUAAGUUGUGGAUUACAGCCACCAACAUGCUGCCCACGGUGGUCAAUGCACAACACUACCCGGUAACGUAAGCCUCGGCCACAUGUAACUGUGCACUGAGACCAUUCCAUUGCCACCCAUUUAGGACAAUCAAACAGAUUGCAGGUUUGAAUGACUUUGGGCUUAGGGGCAUACAUGCAUUUCCAUUCUUCCACUUGCAGAAUCUCUCCGUGUAUGGUCUCCUCUACACACACAAAACUUCUCCUCUGAAUACCACCUCCACAGGAAACUGAACACGCAGUCCAAGGGUUA